GCACGUCAGAAUCCGUACCGAGUGCUCUGCGUGUGCGUAGCGUGCGCUCUUCUGUGGGAUGUGGCAGGGUAGGGACCAGUUAGUUGUUUAUAGGGUAAACUUUGUCGCGCUUCAAGUAGGCGAAAGCUACGUAGAGGGAACGACACGGGACAGCACAAGCGCGAAAUAACAUCGCGCUUGUGUCGCUUUGUGGUGCGUCUCGAGCGGCCAGCGGCGUCGAUCCGUUGCUUGCGGUAGCCAUUUUGACCGGCGGCCGCGCAAUUCAUGCGGAGUCGGCGGUCCCCAGCACUUUUGAAGUCGAGGACGUAAGGUUGGCAUGCAGCUAAAUCGCUGCAACAAAUAAUUGACGCUGAGAAAUGGCACCUCAGCAAAAAAUGCAGAUUCAUAACCAGACAUCAGCUGUUCUACGGCUGUUCCCUUUUCGGGCAACGGAGGCAAUGGAGAUGCUGUUGUGCCUGUGCUGAAUUUUGCGGAGAUGCAUUGCAAGGAUGACUUUGGCAGUUUAAUUACACAGCUACUACUAAAGUUUGAUCUCCUUUUCACAGGGAACCUGAUUACAAACUGUGGAGAGAGGCUGCAAGCAGCUUGGAUGCA
rnacentral:lncRNA from 1 species